UAGCUAGUUGGUGAGGUAACGGCCCACCAAGGCAACGAUCGGUAGCCGGACUGAGAGGUUGAACGGCCACAUUGGGACUGAGACACGGCCCAGACUCCUGCGGGAGGCAGCAGUGGGGAAUAUUGCACAAUGGGGGAAACCCUGAUGCAGCGACGCCGCGUGGAGGAAGAAGGUCUUCGGAUUGUAAACUCCUGUUGUUGAGGAAGAUAAUGACGGUACUCAACAAGGAAGUGACGGCUAACUACGUGCCAGCAGCCGCGGUAAAACGUAGGUCACAAGCGUUGUCCGGAAUUACUGGGUGUAAAGGGAGCGCAGGCGGGCGAUCAAGUUGGAAGUGAAAUCCAUGGGCUCAACCCAUGAACUGCUUUCAAAACUGAUUGUCUUGAGUAGUGCAGAGGUAGGCGGAAUUCCCGGUGUAGCGGUGGAAUGCGUAGAUAUCGGGAGGAACACCAGUGGCGAAGGCGGCCUACUGGGCACCAACUGACGCUGAGGCUCGAAAGUGUGGGUAGCAAACAGGAUUAGAUACCCUGGUAGCCCACACCGUAAACGAUGAUUACUAGGUGUUGGAGGAUUGACCCCUUCAGUGCCGCAGUUAACACAAUAAGUAAUCCACCUGGGGAGUACGACCGCAAGGUUGAAACUCAAAGGAAUUGACGGGGGCCCGCACAAGCAGUGGAGUAUGUGGUUUAAUUCGACGCAACGCGAAGAACCUUACCAAGUCUUGACAUCCUGCGACGGACAUAGAAAUAUGUUUUUCCUUCGGGACGCAGAGACAGGUGGUGCAUGGUUGUCGUCAGCUCGUGUCGUGAGAUGUUGGGUUAAGUCCCGCAACGAGCGCAACCCUUAUGGUCAGUUACUACGCAAGAGGACUCUGGCCAGACUGCCGUUGACAAAACGGAGGAAGGUGGGGAUGACGUCAAAUCAUCAUGCCCUUUAUGACUUGGGCUACACACGUACUACAAUGGCGUUAAACAAAGAGAAGCAAGACCGCGAGGUGGAGCAAAACUCAGAAACAACGUCCCAGUUCGGACUGCAGGCUGCAACUCGCCUGCACGAAGUCGGAAUUGCUAGUAAUCGCAGAUCAGCAUGCUGCGGUGAAUACGUUCCCGGGCCUUGAACACACCGCCCGUCACACCAUGAGAGCCGGGGGGACCCGAAGUCGGUAGUCUAACCGCAAGGAGGACGCCGCCGAAGGUAAAACUGGUGAUUGGGGUGAAGUCGUAACAAGGUAA
rnacentral:rRNA from 1 species